AUGCAGCACUGGGUUGAGCCCUGGAGGGGGAGGUGGCUCUCGAAAGCGGACCGGGUAAUCCUCAUCAACUCCUCGCUGGCCAGCCUACUCUGGUUUCUCAUGAGCUUCUACAGCCUCCAUGAGACUCUCCAUCAGGAGAUCACCAAAUACCAGUCUAGGUUUUUCUGGGCGGGCGAGGGUGACAAGCAGAAGUACCAUAUGGUGAGCUGGCUAGACAUUUGCAAUCCCAAGGACCAAGGUGGUCUUGGGAUCUUGUCUUCUUGGCGCAUGAACAUUGCCCUCCUGACCCGGUGGCUUUGGCGUAUCGCCAAUGGGGAGGGAGGACUCUGGCUUACCAUCAUCCAAAAUAAGUACCUCAGGGGCCAACCUCUAGCCUUCUGUCAGCGCUCUGGUGGCUCCCAGUUCUGA
rnacentral:rRNA from 1 species